GUCGAGCGAACUUAACUAAAUGAAUGCGGUGCUUGCACCAAGUGAUUUUAGAGCGGUGAGCGGCGGAUGGGUGAGUAACACGUGGGUAACCUGCCUCUAAGCAGGGGAUAACAUUUGGAAACAGAUGCUAAUACCGUAUAAAUCCUAAAACCACAUGGUUUUAGGCUGAAAGGCGGCUUCGGCUGUCACUUAGAGAUGGACCCGCGGCGUAUUAGCUAGUUGGUGAGGUAAUGGCUCACCAAGGCAAUGAUACGUAGCCGAACUGAGAGGUUGAUCGGCCACAUUGGGACUGAGACACGGCCCAAACUCCUACGGGAGGCAGCAGUAGGGAAUCUUCCACAAUGGACGCAAGUCUGAUGGAGCAACGCCGCGUGAGUGAAGAAGGCUUUCGGGUCGUAAAACUCUGUUGUUGAAGAAGAACACGUUUGAGAGUAACUGUUCAGACGUUGACGGUAUUCAACCAGAAAGCCACGGCUAACUACGUGCCAGCAGCCGCGGUAAUACGUAGGUGGCAAGCGUUAUCCGGAUUUAUUGGGCGUAAAGCGAGCGCAGGCGGUUUUUUAAGUCUGAUGUGAAAGCCCUCGGCUUAACCGAGGAAGUGCAUCGGAAACUGGGAAACUUGAAUGCUGAAGAGGAC
rnacentral:rRNA from 2 species